rnacentral:rRNA from 1 species
AUUGAACGCUGGCGGCAGGCCUAACACAUGCAAGUCGAACGGCAGUACGGGAGCUUGCUCCUGGUGGCGAGUGGCGGACGGGUGAGUAAUGUAUGGGGAUCUGCCUGAUGGAGGGGGAUAACAACUGGAAACGGUUGCUAAUACCGCGUAAUGUCGCAAGACCAAAGAGGGGGACCUUCGGGCCUCUUGCCAUCAGAUGAACCCAAAUGGGAUUAGCUAGUAGGUGAGGUAAUGGCUCACCUAGGCGACGAUCCCUAGCUGGUCUGAGAGGAUGACCAGCCACACUGGAACUGAGAGACGGUCCAGACUCCUACGGGAGGCAGCAGUGGGGAAUAUUGCACAAUGGGGGAAACCCUGAUGCAGCCAUGCCGCGUGUGUGAAGAAGGCCUUAGGGUUGUAAAGCACUUUCAGUCGGGAGGAAGGUAAUAAAGAUAAUACCUUUAUUAAUUGACGUUACUGACAGAAGAAGCACCGGCUAACUCCGUGCCAGCCGCCGCAGUAA